GACGAACGCUGGCGGCGUGCUUAACACAUGCAAGUCGAACGAUGAAGCCCAGCUUGCUGGGUGAAUUAGUGGCGAACGGGUGAGUAACACGUGAGUAACCUGCCCUUGACUCUGGGAUAACUGCGGGAAACUGUAGCUAAUACCGGAUACGACCCUCGGAGGCAUCUCCUGGGGGUGGAAAGAAUUUCGGUCAAGGAUGGACUCGCGGCCUAUCAGCUAGUUGGUGAGGUAAAGGCUCACCAAGGCGACGACGGGUAGCCGGCCUGAGAGGGUGACCGGCCACACUGGGACUGAGACACUGACCAGACUCCUACGGGAGGCAGCAGUGGGGAAUAUUGCACAAUGGGCGCAAGCCUGAUGCAGCAACGCCGCGUGAGGGAUGACGGCCUUCGGGUUGUAAACCUCUUUUAGCAGGGAAGAAGCGAAAGUGACGGUACCUGCAGAAAAAGCACCGGCUAACUACGUGCCAGCAGCCGCAGUAA
rnacentral:rRNA from 1 species